rnacentral:rRNA from 1 species
UACGUAGGGUGCAAGCGUUGUCCGGAAUUAUUGGGCGUAAAGAGCUCGUAGGCGGUUAGUCGCGUCUGCUGUGAAAACUCGGGGCUUAACUCCGGGCCUGCAGUGGGUACGGGCUGACUAGAGUGCGGUAGGGGAGACUGGAAUUCCUGGUGUAGCGGUGAAAUGCGCAGAUAUCAGGAGGAACACCGGUGGCGAAGGCGGUUCUCUGGGCCUUACCUGACGCUGAGGAGCGAAAGCGUGGGGAGCAAACAGG